rnacentral:lncRNA from 1 species
CCAAACCUAAGAAUCUUCUCUUUGAUCUCCUCCAACCUCAAAAUCACACAAAACCGUGGAUUAUCAUCCCAAACCCUUUAGCUCUCUCUCUCUCUCACAGCUUUCUCUCCUAAUCUCCACCAAAUUUCAAGCUCUAAUCUCAAAAAUCCGUGAGAAACACUCCUGAACCCUAUUCUUCUCUUUAUUUUCAUUCAUCUCUCAUCCCUCUC